GACAGAGGCCCCAAGCGUUAGGCGGAAUCACUGGGCUUAAAGCGUGUGUAGGCGGAUCGUUAAGUGUCUUGUGAAAUCCCACGGCUCACCCGUGGAACUGCUGGGCAUACUGGCGAUCUUGGGCCAACUAGGGGCAGUCGGAACAAGCGGUGGAGCGGUGAAAUGCGUAGAUAUCUGGAGGAACACCGGUGGCGAAGGCGGCAUCCUGGACCAAUACUGACGCUGAGGAGCGAAAGCCAGGGAGGCGAAACGGG
rnacentral:rRNA from 1 species